AGUGGCUCAUUCACCUUCUUAUGUCAGCCCCACGCGAGCGCUACAUAAACCUCGAAUGACGCACAAACAGGUGCCUGCCGUCCAAUUUUUGAUAACAGCAUUGCUUUAUCUGACCCCGGGCGACACGUUGAGUAAGGCACCGCCUA
rnacentral:sRNA from 1 species